GGUACCACAUUGCUCUGUUUUUGGUUGAAGCACUCGAUAUAAUCAAAACACAUGAAAUUGAAAACACUGUUCGAUUUAGUACCAUAUUCUCAAUGAAAGACUUUGGACCACUGAUUUAAGAAAGAAAAAACACAAGGUUUACUGGUCAAGUGAUGGAGUAAAGUUUUCCGGUUUGCAAUUUAUGUUUGUUGGAACAAAAAUUUUGGAUUGUCAUCACGGAAAAGAUAGGAACCUAAAUUUGAAACUAUCAGUUAAAGAAAAAAGACAAAAGGAACUGCAAAACUAUCAUGGGUGUAGAAGGAAACACACGGCGAGACGAAAUGGUCCUGGAGGAGGCCUCGUCAUGUGAAAUCAAAUGCACAGUUUUUCUGGCUAUAAUAUUUAAUGAAACUUGUCCAAAUAAACCAAAGAUUUAUAUAUUCUUUUAAGCUAAAAUCGUUGAUUUGAAAAGAGCAGCUUAUUCCACUUCACAUCUGCUUUUAAUUCGAAAAUUCGUAGUGCAAGGCACAACAACUUUCUUUAUCCAACUUAACUAUCAUGCGUUUUCUUUCUCCAGCUGACAAAAAAGUUUGUACGAACACCACGCAUGCUAGCUACGGCUUCAAAGUUUCAUAAUCAGUUCAGUAUGGAAAUCUUUUCACAAGUCAGUCGCAAUAA